GCUGACACAUCCCUGCCAAUCUCCGGCAGACCCUCCCUCCCAGACCCUCCUACUUCCUGGACAGCAUCCAUGUUGAAGGCAGCUUCAACAUGGAUGCUGUCCAGGAGGUGGGAGGGUCUGGGAGAGAGGGUCUGCCGGAGAUGGUCAGGGAUGUGUCAG
rnacentral:miRNA from 1 species